rnacentral:lncRNA from 1 species
CUUCCCAAUAUCCCACACACCAACCCUGCCACUGGCUUGGAGAGCAGCUCUAAAUGACCAGAGCUCAUAAAUUGCUCUAACUUUUCAUUGCUGGGAGUUCUCUGAGUCUGCAUUUCUGAACUCCUCCCUAACUGGGUGGAGGGAGUGAGGCUUCAGUUUAGUGUUUCGCAAUCAGUCCCAGUCGCAAAGACCAAACCUCUGCCUCACCUCCCGGGGAAACCCAGGCCUGAGAUCCACACCUUCCUCUCCCCGUGUCACCCAGCAGUGAGCAGAGAAACAGCUGAGUUAUGAGCCAGACAAGGGAGAGGAUGCCCCACCCUGUAGACCAGCCCUGCAUUGUAGAUGGGAACCAUGGAAACCACAGUGUUUGCUCAGAUGGCAGGGCCUUCACUGACCCUCGAAGUGCCGGAAAUUUAUUUAUAAAACACGAGACCUUAUUUCCAUACGUAAUCUGGAACAGCAGACUUCUCUCCACGGAGCUCCCAGGCUCCCAGACUUAUCCUGCCAGCCUUAAGCCCAGUCCCUCAGCCUCAUGCUCUGGGAUGGAUGAACCGGUCCAAAGAUCAGGAUGGAGACAGAAACCGCAUGAGAUGCGAAGGAGGAGCAGAGAUGCCAAGGCCAGCUGCUAUGUGAAUACCUACCAAGCAGCGCAUGGACUCAGCCUGCUGCAGUGGUCUUCCUGAAAUAGCCCUGCCAGAGAUGCGUCUGGCCGUGCUCCAUCCCACAGGCCUUUUCAAACAGUCCCCUGUCUGCCACUUUAUAAAAGAACGGUAGGGGUGGAGCUAGAGAGAUGGCUCAGCAGUUAAGAACCCUGGCUGCUCUUGAGGAGGACUUGGGUUCGAUUCCCAGCACCCACAUGGUGGUUCACAACACCGGAAACUCCAGUUCUGGGGGAUCUGAUGCCCUCUUCCAGUCUCUGUACUGCACAAACAUACAUAUAGACAAAAUACCCACACUCAUAAAAAUAAAACAAAUCUUUUAAAAAUUAAGAAAUGUAGGAGGGGCUUCAGCUUGGGAGUGAGCACGCGCUAGAACACACACGACUCCGGGUUCCAUCGAGAACUACGGAAUCAAACAUGGACCUG